rnacentral:rRNA from 1 species
UACAGAGGGUGCGAGCGUUAAUCGGAAUUACUGGGCGCAAAGCGUGCGUAGACGGCUAUCUAAGUCAGAUGUGAAAGCCCCGGGCUUAACCUGGGAACGGCAUUUGAGACUGGCGAGCUGGAGUCUGGCAGAGGGGGGUGGAAUUCCACGUGUAGCAGUGAAAUGCGUAGAGAUGUGGAGGAACACCGAUGGCGAAGGCAGCCCCCUGGGCUGAGACUGACGCUCAGGCACGAAAGCGUGGGGAGCAAACAGG